rnacentral:rRNA from 1 species
ACAGCAGUCGCCGCGGUAAAACGAAGGGUGCAAGCGUUACUCGGAAUUACUGGGCGUAAAGCGUGCGUAGGUGGUGGUUUAAGUCCGUUGUGAAAGCCCUGGGCUCAACCUGGGAAUUGCAGUGGAUACUGGGUCACUAGAGUGUGGUAGAGGAUAGUGGAAUUUCCGGUGUAGCAGUGAAAUGCGUAGAGAUCGGAAGGAACAUCUGUGGCGAAGGCGACUAUCUGGGCCAACACUGACACUGAGGCACGAAAGCGUGGGGAGCAAACAGGAUUAGAUACCCGCGUAGUCCCUGUCUCUUAUAC